GGUGCACCCAGGUGGCCCCAGGUGCACCCAGAUGUCCCCCAGGUGUAUCCAGGUGUCGCCAGGUGUUCCCAGAUGUCCCCUGGGUGUUCACAGCAGCAUCCAGGUGUCCCUCAGGUGCCCCCAGGUGUCUUCAGGUGUGCCCAGAUGUCCCCAGGUGUGUCCCAGGUGCACCCAGGUGUCCCCAGGUGUCCAUCCAGGUGCACCCAAGUCCAUCCAGGUGUCCCCAGGUGUCCCCAGGUGUCC